AAAAAUCACUAGAACCUGUUACAGUGGGUUUUCAGGUAAAAGAAAACCAAUAAAAUUACUUUUUUAUCCUCUUUCCUCUCAAACUAAAAAAAUACUGGUUAUUUCAACUAUCAUAUGGAUUUAUAACAAGAAUACCAAUGCCAUCACAACGAUCCCUUUCCUGUAAAGGAGGAGGAUUUUUCCAUAAUUGAAAAGUGCUAAAACUACAUUUGUAGGCGUCAUACCAUAGUUUAAAGGGAUUUUUUAAUUUGAAAAUCCGCUAUUGCAAGUUAGAGGGUUUUUUUUAAAAAAACAAAAUUAAAAUUUAAGAAUUUUUUAGUAACAAAUUGAAGUUA
rnacentral:misc_RNA from 1 species